AUUUACAUAGUGGCCACAAAAGCCAUGUGGCUCCGCCCACUGGUGGAAUAUCAAGACGCCACGCCGCCCGGGAUGAGACCCUCAAGAAACGCGACCCCCUCGGACCGGCCCCCGACGACAAAAGGAGCAGGAGGACGAGGAAGAGGAGGAAGGAGGAGGAGGAGGGCAACAACCCUGAUGCUAAUGUAGCAGCCUUUCAAGUUUUGCAAAAUAGCAGUCAAGAACAUGCGCUAACAGCUACUAGCAAGCCGUGAGAUUGUUUUAAGCGAGGCGCACACAGCAAGCGGACAACUGAGGCCAUGAUGGUUAAAGCUCCAAACACGGCAGUAGGCAGAAGAACAGUAGGCAGUAGAAGAACAAAAGAAGAGAAAAAUCAAGAGGCAGGAGAAGAAAAGCAAGUGGAAUGUCAUGGCUAUCAAAAGUCCCAGGCAGCAGAUUUGCGCCGGACUUUCCACCUGGAUAACGUUUCCUCAUUAAUUGCUUGAGCUCAGCUUGCAUUGGACGUUCUUGGAUAUUUUUAGCACGCGCAUUGUGACAUAGUGGACCGGCACGUUAGCACGUUGGCUUCAGAAUCCGGCCUUUUCCAAAUUGGAAAGUGAUUGACAAGCUGUCAACCAACCGGUGCGUUGUUGAAAGUGACAGACAAACUAAGUGGUGACCGUUGGGUUGUGUUUGUCGCCACAUCCUGACACCGAUUCUACCUUUGGCUCCAUCCGCCCUGUCGACCAAGACUGUUGGCGACCAACUGGUCAACAUUGCAGGCAGCGAAUGGGGUCAAGGUUCGCAAGCAAAUGUUUAGGUGCCACAGGAAUGUUCCCGAGUUGCCGUGUCACUUUACGCGGACAAAACCCGUCGCUUUUGGCGCAGUGUUUGAGAGCCCGUUUUCAGCUUGGAGGAACACCAGGUGGCCGCGUAAGCAACUGCAUGCAGUGAUUCAAUCGGACGCGAAAGGGUGCAGAUUGGGGGGGGGCAUCUAGUGGCCGUCUGAGGAAGUGCGGCACACUCGCGUUUUCACAGAGCGUGUUGUUUUAAGAUCCAUUGCAGGUUUGUGGUGUCACUCAACACCUGCACACCUCAAGGGAACCCAAGUGGCUCAUGUUAAAUUAGGCCUGCGAGAUGCCAACGUGUUUAAUAGGAGGACUUAAAAAGCAUCAGCGGCAUGCUUCGAGCGUUUACGAUCAUCGAAGGCGACGCGGUCAAAGGAUUAUCUAUGGCGGACAGGUGGACGGACGGCAACCUUGUAAAAUGGGACAGUGUCGAAAUCAAUGCUCCUCCUUGAAGGAGGUCGUGACUGCGGUUCAACGAGCAUGAUAAACUUAACCUGCUGAUUGGCCUUCUCAUUUUACCUUGCAACAUCUGAUGUCGUUACCUUUUCUAAUUUGCACCUCCACAUAGCAAACCACAAGAACAAUUUCAAUGAAAGGCAUUUUGGCUAAGCUCAUUGCUAACUUAGCCUCAGAAUUUGAGCAACGACUGUAUAACAUUUUCCAAUUCAAAGCAAAAUAUAUAAACAAUCAAAUAACAGCUGGACUCAAAAUGUCUUCAUUAAAUGUGUUCAGCUCACAGUUUGCUAAUUACUUGGUGUGCUACUCAAACAGCAGUUGUUUCACUUUAGCCACUUUUAGCAUGAUGCUAACAUUGCUACCACCACAACAAUAAACAAGUUCUUUUCAAGUCGAA